UCUAUAGACUGGACAAAAGCCGAUAGCUGCUGGGAAGAAGGAGGACUCUUGGACUUCUUUCUAAUUGAGCAGUGGGGUCUCUGCUUCCUCCCACUAGAAAUUCAACUGGUCUCCAAAGAAAGAACAAGUCACCCAUUGCUAACCAAGACAGAAGAGAAUGCAGCUCUUGCUGCAUUUCCUGAAUUUGAAGAUAAUUUUGCUGUCAAGGCCACGAAGGUGCCAUGGAGGCGUCACUUCCAAAGCUGAGAAUUUCAGCUCCUCUGGAACUAAGCCCAGGUGGCAGGCGGGGUAGUGAGAACUCACACCCCCUUGUUUUCUGCACCCCCAGAAACUUUCAACAGACAUUCCAGCUCAUCUCAGAUAACUGAUCUCACGAAGUGCCUCCAUCAUCCUCUGAGAAGAAGCAUCAGACAUGACAGCUGCCUUUAUCUCCAGAUGGCAGGCCGUCUUGUAGUUCCAAAGCAGUGAUCAUCACCAAGCCAUACCCCUGGGUGGGACAUGAGUGGAGAAUGGAAACAGCAGAGUGUACAGACAUCUGUGGUAUGCAGACCAAUGUGGGUGUCUGAAAGCACUUGGGGAUGAGACAAGGGCUUGGAGGCUGAACUGAGGCUGGGCUUCAAGCAAUAUGGCAGCACCCAGGGCCUGGUGGAAAAGAAAGCUGCAGCAGAAUGAUUUCUGAUCCAGCACAUGCCAUUACAAAUGUCCCAAGAACCAGAGACCUGGAUGUUAAGCUAGCAAAGAGCUGUUUUAGCCAAAAGAAAGAAUGGCCACCCUGAUUUUUACAAGUGAAUGAAGUGUGAAAAGAUACUAACCCCUAUUCAAACUCUCCAUGAAACCAACUGAUGUGAGUAAAGUAUUUUUUUUUUAGUAAAGUAGGGGUGAAAACAUCCACAUUAUCUAAGCCAGGAUGCAGCAAACAUUUCAUAAACUGAAAACAAUUCGUCAAAUAUACUACAGAUGGGAAUUGAUAAAAGGCACUUUUUAAAGCCUGAAUCACACACAGGGACUCUUUCUGAGAUUUCAGUGUACAGCUCCAAGAGAGUGCUAAGUAACUUAAGAAAGCUCAACAAGCACAUGCCAAACAACUUAUUAACAAGAACAGAAGGACCAAAGGUACAAUUGAGAGACUGUGAAGAUAUGCAGUACUUAGUCAAGAAUUCAGCAGAUGGGAAGGAAUCCAGAACAUACACUCAGUCUCUGGGUUCCACAGAGGAAAAUGUUUCUCAUGUCUUCACACCAGAAUAGAAGCAAAGACUGAGAUAAUGUUUCCCUUCCAUCAUCGACAGGUCCACCAAGCCCCGAAUC